GUUGUUCAACUUUGAUUGGAGGUUAUGUAUCGUGCUCCAUGCUGCGUUUUCGCUUUUAAAAUGAUACCGAACGUUCGUGCUCCCAAACUGUUAUGGACCAAUGUUAUGUGACUGUAUAGGUGGAGGCCAUGUGCUGCGGUGUGGUGUUAUGACCACCAGAUGGAGACAUAAUAAGUUGAGCGCUCCUCUGUCGUCAUGUUGUUGGAGAUGUCAUGAUACAUAUUAAUUAGCCGUGGAAGAGAACAGCACUGUGUCCUUUGUCAUCCAAGCAAAUGAGAGCCGUUACACAUCCGCUACAGCAGCCACUUACCAGUGAUGAUGACAGCAGAGAUGACGAUGGAACUGACGGAAGAAGCAGAGGGAAUCGGAGCCCUGUCCCACGUGCGAGAUGAUCUGUACAACACAGUGGAGAGGAUCCUAAAGAUUGCAUGUCACUUUCACAGUCAGCAAUGAUAAGCUUCGGGCCGACGUGCAACAGGAGAUGGAGCAUGAACUGACCCUGAUAUUGGAUAGUGGAACCCGCUGGAACGGUCUCGCCUUCAUGGUGGAGUGAUAUGUGCUGUUGCACAGCUCUAUUUGAUGUCAAUCCAGGACUUCUUGUGAGUGAUGGGCAGCUGAAACUUUUGAAAGAGCUAAUCUCACCUAGUCUGAAAACCUGUCAAAAUGGCCAUGGAGUAACUCUGCCAGCGGGACGCCACUGAUCGUGGCAGAUGGAAUCUUUCGGUCCACGCCGGAUUAAGCCCCGAUCUGCCUGGAGUUACCGUCGAGACCAGAUUCACCCAGUGGAUGCAAAAUAACCUGGUCUUCCUCUUCAGGCAUAGGCUUGCAAAUGUAUCUAAUUUAUAUUUUAUGAUUCCAAUGUGUAACAGUAUAGCUUCUGUCCCUCUCCUCGGCCCUACCUGGGCUCGAACCACGGACCCUCUGCACACAUCUACAACUGCCUCCCACGAAGUGGUCGCUCCACAAAACCCGCGGCCCUUGCAGAGCAAAGGGGAACAACUACUUCCAAGGGCUCAGAGGGAGUGACGUCACCCAUUAACACCCAGGGCUGUUAAGCACAACGUGGAUACAGCCUUCGCCGAGGUGCCUUAGUGCUAUUAUAAACGAGUUAUCAAGGUAAUUAGAGCAGUAAUACCCGUGGUAUACGAUCUGAUAUACCACGGCUGUCAGGCAAUCAGCAUUCAGGGCUCUCACCACCCAGUUUAUAAAGGGACAUAAUGCACGCUCUAGAAUCCCCUUCAAGCCAAUCGGAAAAUAAUGUACAACAAUGCCACGGUAUAAUAUAUUUUAUUAUUUGUUAGGCUAUUGUCAUAGCCUGGCAUAUACACUGUGACUGCACAUCAUUUAGGCCUGGAAGUUCAUUUUCUAAGAUAAAUGUAUCAUCGUUUUUUUUUUUUAUACAAAGUCCUGAGCCCUCUGUCAUUAUUUAUGCAGACAAAAA